GGAUUUAAUUUAGAUAUUAGAUGAGCAAGACGAAUUAAAUCUACGGAUUUAAUUUAGAAUUAUUUUGCAAUCUAUCGAUAAUUGCAAGCGAGUAUCGAGUAGAUGCAUAAACGCGCAUUACAUAUUACAGACUUAGAAUUUCCAAGACACAAGGAUUUUUAUUCAUAUAUCCACCACAACUUUUACAACCUAUCUAUCAAUUACCACACAAUUUACUAGCCUAAUUGGAAAAACAUCAUCUGACAAAAAAAAAAAAAAAAAAAAAAGAACGAAAAAAAGAAAAAGAAGGUGGCGUGUGUGUGAAGCUGCUACAGCUACACUACAACCACACCUCCCCUCCAAUCCCCUUCUCCCUACACCCUACCUCCCCCUUAGCACACUUAUUCCCCUAAUUCCCCUCUGUAUCUAUUAUAACAAUAGCACACUCAAUUGUGAAGCCAAUAUUCCUCCUCUUAACCCCAUUUCAUCAGCCAACCAUUUCUUCAUCCUCUACAUUCUUCAUUCAAAGAUUUCAAGAAUAGCAGAGAUCUUCAAUCCUUGCUUUGCUCUGCCAGAAAAUUUUCAAGGGUAAGCUCGUAUUCAAUCUCUCCACCACUUCCAUAUUCCACCUGCAUUAACACAAGAAAAUUUUGAUUUCUCAGUUACUCUUUCAUUCAAAUACUACGCAGCAACAAGACAACCAACCAACCAAGCAAACAAUUCAAGGUAUUAUAGUAUGCCAUUCCUUCAAUGCACCCACAUCCAUAUCAACAGCAUAUCAGUUUCAAAUGAUAGAUGACCAUAAGCUUGAUAAACUUAGCAAAGUUACAUACUCUAUAACAAUUAGCAUCAGAUAAUUCCCUGCUGUAUUCAUGUCUAUAGAACUCAUAGCAACCCACAUAUGCGAAUGAUGAUUUAUGGCAUUUCACGGCAGUAGUAUGAUUCAUACAUUGAGAUAUUACCACUGUACAUAGAACCAAAGCCAUGAGAACCCCCACCCCCUUAACAACUAGAAGCUGAAGUAGGAGGGAGUAGAACUUAGCUUUUAGAAAAGAAGGGGACGCUGCCCUGCUUAGUCAGGCCGAGAAACGACGUCUGGGCGGCGACUCGGCGGGGACAGCAGCGUCGACGGCGUCGAGCGGUGAAGGGCAGGCGACUCCUGACCCCGGCGAUGGCCCUCGCCGAUUCUGGAGUAGCAGCAUUCGGCGGCAUACCCUUCGCCCGAAUCCAGCAGCAGCGUGGCGAGGCUCAAACCUUCGACCCCGGAGAAAAUAGCAGCAGCGGCUCGGUGCGCCGCGGCAGUGGAGUUUCAGGCGGAGCGACGCCGGCUUGAGGUGACAUUGUCGCCGGAGAUUUCAGGGGCGGCGGAGACGAUUUCUGACUGAGGAACUUGGGUUUCUUCCUUUUUUUUGUUUCCCUCGAGCUUGAAAGAAAGGAAAUGAGGUGAGGGGGAGGGGGGAGCAGCCGGCGGCUUGACGACCAGCGGCCGCCGCCGCGAGUGCAGCGGCGCGGCGAAGCCGGCCUUCCAGUUGCAGCGGAGGCGGUAUUCUUUUCUCUGGCAGAAAUUAGGGCUCCUUCGUUCCUUCAAUAGAUUCGAGGGAGAGAAGAACGAUUGAAGCCGAAAGGAGAUGGGCGAAGGGAGCGUCCGAGUCAGGCAAGGCGACGACCAGCGACCGUUCGCCGUUCUUCCAUAGGCGGCGGCGGCGAUUUUUGAUUUUGGGAGAAGCUAGGGCUCGGUGUGAAAAUGGAGGAAUUCGCCCGUGAAUCUAGGGGGAGAUUGACGUUGACAAAGGAGAAGCAGCGAAGCGCCGCCUCGCCGGAUUGCGGAGCGGCGGCGGCGGGCGCCUCGGCUGGAGAUAGAUCGAGAGAGAGAGAGAACCUAAGGGAGCUUCUUUUGUUUUGAGAAGAGAGAGGGACCGAGUGGGAGAGGUAAAGAGGGCUUGGGCCAUUGUAUAUUUUUCCUUUGGGCCUUCCCCUUAUUUUUUUUUUGUAAUUGGGCUAAGUUUAAAUUAUUUUACUUUGGGCCCAACAUUAAUUAUUUCAGUUGGGCUGCUAUUAUUCUAUUUGAGCCCAGAUUUAUUUAAUUAUUUGAGUUCAAUAAUCUCAUCUCAAUUGGGCCUUUUUUUAUUUUUAUUUAUUAUUCAGCCCAAAUUUAAUUAUUUUACUUGGGCUCCAAAUUUAUAUAUAUAUGAAUUGUAAUUAUUUAUUUUAAUUCAAG
rnacentral:lncRNA from 1 species